AUGGGAGAGCCAAGGCAUCACUGCAAGCUAUGUCUCCUCGUGGCAUUGGCGCUGUGGCUGCACGCACCGACGGGCGCGACGACGAAGUUCACCAUAGCGAACUACUGCGCCUACACGAUAUGGCCGGGCACGCUGGCCGGUUCCGGCACGCCGCAGCUGUCCACGACGGGGUUCGAGCUCGGGCCGGGGCAGGCGGUGCGGCUGGCGGCGCCGGCGGGGUGGUCGGGGCGGAUGUGGGCGCGGACCGGGUGCGUGUUCGACGCGGCCGGCGCCGGCGUCUGCCAGACGGGCGACUGCGGCGGGCGCGUGGAGUGCCGCGGCGCCGGCGCCACGCCGCCGGCCACGCUCUUCGAGGUCACGCUGGGGAAGGGCGGCGGCGAGGACUUCUACGACGUGAGCCUCGUCGACGGGUACAACCUCCCCGUCGUCGCCAUCCCGCGCGCGCUAAGCGGGCCCGGCGCGUGCAACGCCACCGGCUGCUUGGCCGACCUCAACCGAUCGUGCCCGACGGAGCUGCAGGUAGUCUACGGCGGCGGCGCGAUCGCGUGCCGGAGUGCGUGCGAGGCGUUCGGGCAGGACAGGUACUGCUGCAGCGGCGCCUACGGCACCCCGGCGGCGUGCCGGCCGACGUCGUACUCGUCCGUCUUCAAGAUGGCGUGCCCGCGCGCCUACAGCUACGCCUACGACGACAGCACCAGCACCUUCACCUGCAGCGCCGACGACUACACCGUCGCCUUCUGCCUCCCCACCUCCGGGAUAAAGGAGUCGGACGCCGUGUUCCUGGGCGCGCAGAUCGUCGGCGGCCGCGGCACCGGUGCUGCCGAAGCCAACGAUAUCGCGCCGCCGGCGUACGGCAACGGUGGCGCGGGCGCUUAUGCACCGCCGACCUACGACAGCCGCAGCGGUGGUGGAGCCGGAGGUCCUUACCUGCCGCCAGUUUACAACUACGGGCCUGGCGGCGACCGCAUACCGCCGGCGAUGAGGAUCUCGUCGGCUUGCAGUACGACGGCGGCGACGUACAUCCGGCCGUGGCUUCCGCUGCUG
rnacentral:rRNA from 1 species